UAGUAGAACUUCUGACUGUUCCUCUUCGU
rnacentral:piRNA from 1 species